GGCGCUAUAGCCAAGUGGUUACGGCGACAGAUUUGAAUUACCUGCUAUAUCUGUUCCUCUUUGAGGGCGCAGGUUCGAACCCUGCUGGCGUCG
rnacentral:tRNA from 1 species